GUGCUGCAAUGCACCAAAUAUUUGCACUUCUAAUAAUUGAAGCUAACAGUAUUCUUAGCAUGUCUUCAAACAUCCACUUUUAAAGGCAUCGCUUCAGUGACGUAUUGCACGCUUCGACCCUUUCUCUUCUGUGCUUUUCAGAAAGCUUUUAAACGGAAAUACAUGAGGCUUUGAUGGCAGUCGCCUCGGUUUGGUCUGAAACCCAGCUGCAAACCUGACAGUGGGUGGAGCAGACUGGAAAACAGGAAGAUGUAAGCAGGUAAGGAAAGAGUGACACAGAUGAUGGGUAGAGUGAGUUAGAGGAAGAAUGAGAGAGAGGCUCACCUUGUGGAAACUACUAAAAUUAUAGAAGAAAAGCAGAGGGAGCGUCACGUCGAGAAUGGGGUUUGUGCAAUACUUUGUGGCUCUUUGGUUGUUGGCUGCACGGUUGGUGUUCACCUUUCCCACGGAAACAGGAGAGAUGGACAGUCAGGGGUGCCUGAUGUGCUCUGCAGGGACGUUUCAGAAAUCUUGUGCAGAGUGUAAGCCUUGUCCUCUCGGCAGCUACACUUCAACCCAGAACAAUGAGGACAGCUGUCAUCCCUGCUUCAGAGAUUGUUCACCAACAUCUCACCUGAGAGUGGUGAAAAACUGCACAAGUACUUCUGAUCUGAGGUGUGAAUGUGAGCCUGGCUACAGAUGCACCGAGAGGGUACCGCACUCUGAAAACUGCAGACAAUGUCAAAUAAUAACGGUAGUGACGACUCCAGGUAAAUCGAAGCAGGCGCCUUUCUCUGGUUCCCCCAGCCGCCUCAAACCCUGCCAGUCGCUCAACUGUGGUCUUCCAUCAAUCACAACAGUGCACACCAAAAUCACCACCAUACCAGACAAAGCAAACCCUCAGCUUGCAGCCAUCUUGUCUUCAUCUGUUUUCCUGGGGUUUGUGGCCCUCAUCAUCCUGCUCUGCAUUUAUGGCCCCACAAAUGGAAGAUGCUUGAGGCAGACUAUUACAAAGUUAUGCAAUGAGAAACGGAAAGACAUGUCUCAGCCCCCCAGGGACUCUUACACAGCAAGGCAGCAGCCCCCCUCAGCAGCCAACCUGGGUCCAGUCUAUGUUCACAACCCGGGUACGGUCAUUUUCAGCUUGCUAAACCAGUUCACGGGGCAAGUUGGGCCGACCAUCGGCGGGAAGAGAGCUGAGAGAACAAGCAACGAGGAAGAGGAGGAGAGAAACUGCCCCGUGUUUCACCCCGCAUCGUCACCCGGCAUUCCCUUCUCGGAGGAGGAAAGGAGCAGAGAGGUGGACAACAUAUUCUUUCCCUCCCAGGAGCAGGGAAAGGACUGCCACAUGUCCAAAGAGGAGGCAUUUGCUGGGAAGCCAUGAAUGCUGCUCCAUUCAGACUGGCUAUUAAAAAAAAAUCCCUUGAAGGAGGGACUUCUAAAAGAGGAGAAACAACAACCACAAGUAAGAAAAUAGGAGUUUCAAGGAUCACAGCUGCCAACAACCUGCAGAUUCUGGGAGAAACAACUGCACGAGAUGAACUCUCAUGUUUCUUUUUAAGUUAUAUUUAAAAAUACAUUCCUUGUAAAUAGUCUGUAUUGAUCAUACUUGAAUGUAAGAUUUAAAUAAAAUUAUGGUAUUGAAAAAAAAAAGUGGAGGAAAAUCGUGUACUUUAUUAUGAGAUAAUCCAUUGAGACGUUGAAGUGAAAAAAGUGCAGCAAAAAUUAUUCAUGUGCAUACAUACAUGUCAAUGGUUUAUUCCCUGACCCACUCCUUUUUAUUCUGAAGAAGUCUGUUCCAAACUGGGGCCACAUUCACACACACAUACAUAUAUAUAUAUAUUCUGUAUAAUAUAUACAGAUAUAUUUAAAAAAAACAAUUAAAUAAAUGUACCUCAGUACAUACUCAUUUUUAACACCAGACUGCAUCUGUCGCAGUGUCCUCUGUUGUCCUUGUCUCCCAGAUUUGUAGUCAUUGUAAUACAUUUGGAAACGCAUUCGUCUCUGACCAUUUGAAAGCUUUCGCAAGAUGACCUGGAAUGCCAUCAAUUUUUUCCACAGCAGUUACUGAUGUUUUGCAGGUAUUGCGUGUCACUAUAAUGUCCUUAUGAAUGGAUAUAUGUGCGAUCCGCUCGGCGCUCUAGUCUUUUACACAUAUGUCAAUGCACUGAUCGCAUUUGCCACACACUUCCUGCACGGGCUUGGGCAUGUCCUCGUCUUCUGUUCGCAGAGGUUUUUCAGCAGGAUUGUCAGUCACAUUGUAAACUGUCGAUGAAGAGAAGAAAGAAUUUUGAACGAUUAGUCUGAUGCACAGGGUUACAAUGUUAUCCUUAAACCUAACUUACUCCUUUAUGCAUCUGUU
ensembl:lncRNA